CCUACGGGUGGCAGCAGUCGAGAAUCAUUCACAAUGGGGGAAACCCUGAUGGUGCGACGCCGCGUGGGGGAAUGAAGGUCUUCGGAUUGUAAACCCCUGUCAUGUGGGAGCAAAUUAAAAAGAUAGUACCACAGGAGGAAGAGACGGCUAACUCUGUGCCAGCAGCCGAGGUAAUACAGAGGUCUCGCGCGUUGUUCGGAAUCACUGGUCGUGACGCGUGCGUAGGCUGUUUCGUAAGUCGUUGGUGAAAGGCGCGGGCUCAACCCGCGGACGGAACAUGAUACUGGGAGACUAGAGUAAUGGAGGGGGAACCGGAAUUCUAGGUGUAGCAGUGAAAUGCGUAGAUAUCGAGAGGAACACUCGUGGCGAAGGCGGGUUCCUGGACAUUAACUGACGCUGAGGCACGAAGGCCAGGGGAGCGAAAGGGAGUAGAUACCCUGGUAGUC
rnacentral:rRNA from 1 species